AACGCGAAGAACCUUACCAGCUCUUGACAUGUCCAGUAUGGGGCCGAGAGAUCGACUCCUUCAGUUCGGCUGGCUGGAACACAGGUGCUGCAUGGCUGUCGUCAGCUCGUGUCGUGAGAUGUUGGGUUAAGUCCCGCAACGAGCGCAACCCUCAUCUUCAGUUGCCAUCAGGUAAUGCUGGGCACUCUGAAGGAACUGCCGGUGACAAGCCGGAGGAAGGCGGGGAUGACGUCAAGUCCUCAUGGCCUUUAUGGGCUGGGCUACACACGUGCUACAAUGGCGGUGACAGAGGGACGCGAAGGGGCAACCCUUGGCCAAUCUCAAAAAGCCGUCUCAGUUCGGAUUGUUCUCUGCAACUCGAGAGCAUGAAGCUGGAAUCGCUAGUAAUCGCGGAUCAGCACGCCGCGGUGAAUACGUUCCCGGGCCUUGUA
rnacentral:rRNA from 1 species